UGUACCAGGGAUGAACUAAAAAAAGAUGCAAGCUUUUCUGACUGAUUUCACUUUUAUUCCCCAGUGCACACUGAAGGCCAGUCUCGGGCAACAAGGACCCGCACGUUGGAUCCAGAAUUGCUAAACUACCUAAUAUGUGUAUGGGACCGGGAACAUAAAAAGAGACAGAAGAGGACCCAAGUUGGAGGGCUUGUUUUCAGAGCAGAUGGAGAGGAAAGACACAGGCACUGUGAUAUCUUUUCUCACCUCCAGUGGCAUGUUCAGGCUCAAGACUCUUCCUUCUUGAAAGGUUCCUUCUUCAUCAUGCAAGUCCUGUCAGUUUUUCCUCACUCCUAACUCCAACAUUCUGUCGGGGGUUAUGGUCCUGGGAACGAGCUUCAGAGAGAAACUUUUCUCAGGAUAAAGAAUUAAUGGGUAGAUACUUGGAAGCUUGCAUGGUCAGAUGGACGUGCGGAUGAACCAGGUAAGCCUCUGUUGCUCCCCUUAAAGAAAUCUGUCAGACAAUGUCUUCUUUGGGUGGC
rnacentral:lncRNA from 1 species